UGAGGAAUAUUGGUCAAUGGGCGCAAGCCUGAACCAGCCAAGCCGCGUGCAGGAAGACGGCCCUAUGGGUUGUAAACUGCUUUUAUACGGGAAUAAAUCGAGAUACGCGUUAUUUUGAGUGCAUGUACUGUAUGAAUAAGCAUCGGCUAACUCCGUGCCAGCAGCCGCGGUAAUACGGAGGAUGCAGGCGUUAUCCGGAUUUAUUAGGUUUAAAGGGUGCGUAGGCGGUUUAAUAAGUCAGGGGUGAAAUCUUUAAGCUUAACUUAAAGGUUGCCUUUGAUACUGUUAGGCUUGAGUACGAUCGAGGUAGGCGGAAUGUGCAGUGUAGCGGUGAAAUGCUUAGAUAUUGCACAGAACACCGAUUGCGAAGGCAGCUUACUAGAACGUUACUGACGCUGAUGCACGAAAGCGUGGGGAUCAAACAGG
rnacentral:rRNA from 1 species